rnacentral:rRNA from 1 species
GACGAACGCUGGCGGCGUGCCUAAUACAUGCAAGUAGAAUGCACAGUUUAUACCGUAGCUUGCUACACCAUAGACUGUGAGUUGCGAACGGGUGAGUAACGCGUAGGUAACCUGCCUGGUAGCGGGGGAUAACUAUUGGAAACGAUAGCUAAUACCGCAUAAUAUUGAUUAUUGCAUGAUAAUUGAUUGAAAGAUGCUAUUGCAUCACUACCAGAUGGACCUGCGUUGUAUUAGCUAGUAGGGGAGGUAACGGCUCACCUAGGCGACGAUACAUAGCCGACCUGAGAGGGUGAUCGGCCACACUGGGACUGAGACACGGCCCAGACUCCUACGGGAGGCAGCAGUAGGGGAUCUUCGGCAAUGGACGAAAGGCUGACCGAGCAACGCCGCGUGAGUGAAGAAGGUUUUCGGAUCGUAAAGCUCUGUUGUAAGAGAAGAACGGGUGUGAGAGUGGAAAGUUCACACUGUGACGGUAUCUUACCAGAAAGGGACGGCUAACUACGUG